rnacentral:rRNA from 1 species
ACAUGCAAGUCGAGGGGAAACGACAUCGAAAGCUUGCUUUUGAUGGGCGUCGACCGGCGCACGGGUGAGUAACGCGUAUCCAACCUGCCCACCACUUGGGGAUAACCUUGCGAAAGUAAGACUAAUACCCAAUGAUAUCUCUAGAAGACAUCUGAAGGAGAUUAAAGAUUUAUCGGUGAUGGAUGGGGAUGCGUCUGAUUAGCUUGUUGGCGGGGUAACGGCCCACCAAGGCGACGAUCAGUAGGGGUUCUGUGAGGAAGGUCCCCCACAUUGGAACUGAGACACGGUCCAAACUCCUACGGGAGGCAGCAGUGAGGAAUAUUGGUCAAUGGACGAGAGUCUGAACCAGCCAAGUAGCGUGCAGGAUGACGGCCCUAUGGGUUGUAAACUGCUUUUAUAAGGGAAUAAAGUGAGUCUCGUGAGACUUUUUGCAUGUACCUUAUGAAUAAGGACCGGCUAAUUCCGUGCCAGCAGCCGCGGUAAUACGGAAGGUCCGGGCGUUAUCCGGAUUUAUUGGGUUUAAAGGGAGCGUAGGCCGGAGAUUAAGCGUGUUGUGAAAUGUAGACGCUCAACGUCUGCACUGCAGCGCGAACUGGUUUCCUUGAGUACGCACAAAGUGGGCGGAAUUCGUGGUGUAGCGGUGAAAUGCUUAGAUAUCACGAAGAACUCCGAUUGCGAAGGCAGCUCACUGGAGCGCAACUGACGCUGAAGCUCGAAAGUGCGGGUAUCGAACAGGAUUAGAUACCCUGGUAGUCCGCACGGUAAACGAUGGAUGUCCGCUGUUGGUCUGAAUAGGUCAGCGGCCAAGCGAAAGCAUUAAGCAUCCCACCUGGGGAGUACGCCGGCAACGGUGA